CCAACAUUCAUAUGAUCGGUCAUCCAUCAUAUGCAUGAGAAAGAGCGUUAGUCAAAUUCUGUUUGUUGUUUGUGGCUAGACAUGCACAGGAAAGCAUACAAAUUCUCAUGGCUGUGUCAUAUUGGCAGCUAUGCGGAAUCAGGACGCAUGGCUUACAUGCAGAUGGCCAUGAUACGUUUAAGGUAGGCUGAAUACGUAUACAAGCCCCUUAGCUAUUCGACUUUUUCCAUAUAGACACCCCAAUUAAGACACGUACCUAUUGAACCCUUUACUCCUUCACAAAAUGUGUCAAUUGAGCCCAAUCGCUGACGUGGCGCUGACAUGGCAUGACAUGUGUAAUGGAGAGUGAGAAGACACAAUUAAUAAGAACAUUAAAUAUUAAAAAAAAACCAAUAAAAAAAGACACAUAAAAUAAAUUAAAAAAACACAUAAAAGAAAUAAAAAGCUAUCUUCUCCAUUGUCAAGCUUCCAUAAUCUUCCUCUUCAAUAAAUCUUAAACAUAGCAUUUUAUUUCUUCAAAUUGAAUUCGAAAUUAAUGAUAUUUUUUGUAUACAAUAUAAUUCAAUCAAUGGUUUUUCCUUCCCCUGCCUUCCCUUCUUCCAAUCGCGAAUAGUUCAUCUUCAAUUACCUAAAUUCAAAUACCCAAAAUACACUAAUUUUAUUCACUUCUAACACUUGCUCUAUGAAUUUCAGAAUAAUAAAAUCGAUUCAGGAGAUUUUGUGUGUGUACUAGGUGAGGAAGAAAACAAUACAACCUACAGGGAAAACAAAAUUUCCCAUUAUUUACGUAGAAGUUCCAUAGCUUCACAAAACUUCAAAAAAAAAAAAAAGGCCCAUCAUUUAUAUGAUUUAUCAAAGUCAGUACCAAAAUCAUAAAAAUUUGGUGAUUUUCCUGGAUUUUUCCCCUUUUUGAUUUUUGAUCCAUAAACAAAAUCAGCUGCAGAUUUUAUCAAAGAAUUCAAAAUGUUUCUAUCUUUUACUGCUACAAUUUAAAGGAAAUGGAGAUGAAAAUGAAAAUGAAAAAUUGACGAAAUCGAAGUGGGAAAAUGGAAUAACAAAAUGUUUCUAUCUUUUACUGCUACAAUUUAACUAACACUUUAAAAUUCAUUAUUUUUUUCAAUGAAGGAGUGAAGUGAAGAUGGGGAAGAUGGAUAUUGUUGGAUAUUAUUGGGUAUCGACGGAAUCGAAAUGCUUCAAUGGUGGGGAAAGGUGUAUUGACGGAAUCAAAGUGCUUCAAUGGUGGAAAAUGAGUAUCUAUGGAAGAAGGAGAAGAUACUUUUUUUUUUUACGUUCUGCUGCUUUUGGAAGGGAAGGAAGAGAAGGGGAAGGGGGGUAAGGAUUGGGUAGGGCUGUAGUGUGGGGGUGGCGGGUAGUUAAUGUUUUUUUUUUUUAAUUUAGAUUUAAUUAUGUUAAAAAUUUAUUUUUAUAAUUAUUUUAAAUUAAAAUGCCACAUGUCGUUAUUUAAUUCGUCACUUUGCCACAUCAUCCGCGUGUGUGUUACAUGCAUUUUACAUUUUUUGCCACGUCAGCAAAUUAGUUCAAUUGAAACCAUUUGUGAAUGAGUAAAAGGUUCAAUAGGUACCUGACUUAAUUGAGGUACCUAUACGGGAAAAGUGAAAUAGUUCAGGGGCCUGUAUAUGUAUUCCGUCUUUAAGGUAAGGUAGAGACAAGGAAGAGGAAAUCCUAGUUCCAACAUUUGUUGGAACUUGGAAACACAAUGUAACAAGAAAAUUCUUAUCACUGAGUAUCCAGUUUUGGAAAUACUA
rnacentral:lncRNA from 1 species